rnacentral:rRNA from 1 species
AUUGAACGCUGGCGGCAUGCUUUACACAUGCAAGUCGAACGGCAGCGCGGGGCAACCUGGCGGCGAGUGGCGAACGGGUGAGUAAUACAUCGGAACGUACCCAGAAGUGGGGGAUAACGUAGCGAAAGUUACGCUAAUACCGCAUACGUUCUACGGAAGAAAGUGGGGGACCGCAAGGCCUCAUGCUUUUGGAGCGGCCGAUGUCUGAUUAGCUAGUUGGUGAGGUAAAGGCUCACCAAGGCGACGAUCAGUAGCUGGUCUGAGAGGACGACCAGCCACACUGGGACUGAGACACGGCCCAGACUCCUACGGGAGGCAGCAGUGGGGAAUUUUGGACAAUGGGCGCAAGCCUGAUCCAGCAAUGCCGCGUGAGUGAAGAAGGCCUUCGGGUUGUAAAGCUCUUUUGUCAGGGAAGAAACGGCUGGGGAUAAUACCUCUGGCUAAUGACGGUACCUGAAGAAUAAGCACCGGCUAACUACGUGCCAGCCGCCGCGGUAAUAC